rnacentral:rRNA from 1 species
AAAUUGAGAGUUUGAUCCUGGCUCAGGAUGAACGCUGGCGGCGUGCCUAAUACAUGCAAGUCGAACGCUUUGUGGUUCAACUGAUUUGAAGAGCUUGCUCAGAUAUGACGAUGGACAUUGCAAAGAGUGGCGAACGGGUGAGUAACACGUGGGAAACCUACCUCUUAGCAGGGGAUAACAUUUGGAAACAGAUGCUAAUACCGUAUAACAAUGACAACCGCAUGGUUGUUAUUUAAAAGAUGGUUCUGCUAUCACUAAGAGAUGGUCCCGCGGUGCAUUAGCUAGUUGGUAAGGUAAUGGCUUACCAAGGCGAUGAUGCAUAGCCGAGUUGAGAGACUGAUCGGCCACAAUGGGACUGAGACACGGCCCAUACUCCUACGGGAGGCAGCAGUAGGGAAUCUUCCACAAUGGGCGAAAGCCUGAUGGAGCAACGCCGCGUGUGUGAUGAAGGGUUUCGGCUCGUAAAACACUGUUGUAAGAGAAGAAUGACAUUGAGAGUAACUGUUCAAUGUGUGACGGUAUCUUACCAGAAAGGAACGGCUAAAUACGUGCCAGCAGCCGCGGUAAUACGUAUGUUCCAAGCGUUAUCCGGAUUUAUUGGGCGUAAAGCGAGCGCAGACGGUUAUUUAAGUCUGAAGUGAAAGCCCUCAGCUCAACUGAGGAAUUGCUUUGGAAACUGGAUGACUUGAGUGCAGUAGAGGAAAGUGGAACUCCAUGUGUAGCGGUGAAAUGCGUAGAUAUAUGGAAGAACACCAGUGGCGAAGGCGGCUUUCUGGACUGUAACUGACGUUGAGGCUCGAAAGUGUGGGUAGCAAACAGGAUUAGAUACCCUGGUAGUCCACACCGUAAACGAUGAGUGCUAGGUGUUUGAGGGUUUCCGCCCUUAAGUGCCGCAGCUAACGCAUUAAGCACUCCGCCUGGGGAGUACGACCGCAAGGUUGAAACUCAAAGGAAUUGACGGGGACCCGCACAAGCGGUGGAGCAUGUGGUUUAAUUCGAAGCAACGCGAAGAACCUUACCAGGUCUUGACAUCCCUUGACAACUCCAGAGAUGGAGCGUUCCCUUCGGGGACAAGGUGACAGGUGGUGCAUGGUUGUCGUCAGCUCGUGUCGUGAGAUGUUGGGUUAAGUCCCGCAACGAGCGCAACCCUUAUUACUAGUUGCCAGCAUUCAGUUGGGCACUCUAGUGAGACUGCCGGUGACAAACCGGAGGAAGGUGGGGAUGACGUCAAAUCAUCAUGCCCCUUAUGACCUGGGCUACACACGUGCUACAAUGGCGUAUACAACGAGUUGCCAACCCGCGAGGGUGAGCUAAUCUCUUAAAGUACGUCUCAGUUCGGAUUGUAGGCUGCAACUCGCCUACAUGAAGUCGGAAUCGCUAGUAAUCGCGGAUCAGCACGCCGCGGUGAAUACGUUCCCGGGUCUUGUACACACCGCCCGUCACACCAUGAGAGUUUGUAACACCCAAAGCCGGUGGGGUAACCUUCGGGAGCCAGCCGUCUAAGGUGGGACAGAUGAUUAGGGUGAAGUCGUAACAAGGUAGCCGUAGGAGAACCUGCGGCUGGAUCACCUCCUUUCUAAGGAA